rnacentral:rRNA from 1 species
CCGGUCUGAGAGGGCGACCGGCCACACUGGGACUGAGACACGGCCAGACACCUACGGGAGGCAGCAGUGGGGAAUAUUGGGCAAUGGAGGAAACUCUGACCCAGCGACGCCGCGUGAGGGAUGAAGGCCUUCGGGUUGUAAACCUCUUUCAGUAGGGAAGAAGCGAAAGUGACGGUACCUACAGAAGAAGCACCGGCUAACUAUGUGCCAGCAGCCGCGGUAAUACAUAGGGUGCAAGCGUUGUCCGGAAUUAUUGGGCGUAAAGAGCUCGUAGGUGGUUAGAUACGUCGGAUGUGAAAAUCAGGGGCUCAACCCCUGACCUGCAUUCGAUACGGUCUAGCUAGAGUGUGGUAGGGGAGACUGGAAUUCCU